CUAAGAGUGUAAGCCUCUCUUUUGAUAUGCUACUUCAGUUUUGCUAUUUUUCAUGCUGUGAAAUUGUUGUUUGUUCCUCAAAUUGCUUCUUUAUGUGUUCAUUUUAGUGUAUUCUCUGCUAAUUUGUCUUAGUUUAUGAACACACCCGCAUGAAUUCUUGAGUACCCAUAUCGCAAAAAAGGGGGAAAAUAUAUAUUUUUGUCCUCUAAUUGCAGCCCCGGCUUGUUUUCUGAUUGGGAGUAGAUUAUUGUAUAUAUUGAUGAAUAAUGCUCCCAAGUAUGCCCACUGUUUGACAUCAUUUUACUGUAGAAGUACCAGAGUUGAUGAAUUACCCCUUGUUACCCCUUGGCCUAACUUCAGUGAGAUAGUAGUAUAUAAGACAAAUUGCCCCUCUUCUGUUUUGUUUGAGGAAUCUUAACAGUUGCAUCUUUGUCCAUGCUAGAAAUUGAUCUGCCUCAUAACAACAGAAACCCUUAGGGGCACAAAGGAGCAGACUUCCAGCCAGCAUAAUAUGUGUUUAUGUACAUAAUUAUAUCAGAUGCUGGCCAGCCCUUGAGAGAAGAACUUGCUAAGUCACCAGAGAAGAUACUUGCAUGCGCCUUCCCUGAAUUUGUACCAAAAUCAGAUACUUCAAUGGCUCAAGGAUCCUUAACUCCACCAGCAGCUUUAGUGGGUGAGGAAGGCUGCCUUGUUUCUCCUCUACCCGAGAGCUCUAAUUCAACCUUGGCGACCCCUGGUGCAACAUCAGAUGCAUAUUUUUAGGGACUUGCUCUUGUUAAAACUUUAGUGUCUUAUUGUCUUUGAUACAUUAGUACUCCUGUGGAAGUCACCUGCAAGAUUGGCCCGUUGUUUUGAUCAAACAUUUUGUAGGGGCUACUGUAUAGGUUUGAUGCAGUUGAUGGUUUUAAUCUAUGUGCAUUGGCUUUGCUUAUGUAAGUGUCAGACUUCAACAUGGACGUGGGGUGUUGAUGAAGCAGUUUUCUAAAAUGCAGACAUGCAGUUGUUGUUAUCCAUGUUUGUUUCUUUGACUUGCCAUACAAAACAAUGUGUUUGUCUAUGUGCCUGUGUUGGAUUCACACAGAAAUAUAACUGAGAAUGGAAAUAGGUUUGUAAUAGGUGAAAUUUUCACUUGAAA